AAGAACCCUGAAGUCUCCAAUGGCUCCCCUUUUGCUUUUUAAACCUCAACCUGUGUGACAGCAUCUUCAGUAAGUGCCAGUAGACCAGAGUUGGAAUCAGUGGCGAGUCACAUUUUGAGGAGGGUAAAAAGAACUGAAGAGGAAGGCAACAUAAAGAAGAUAGGAGGGGAUUCUUGAAGGAGCUCUCGGCAGGGUGGACUUACUUCUUCAAGGUCUGAAAGCCACGCUCUUUGAAUUGUAGCUCCUGCUGGAGGUGAACCAUCUCUCUCUUCAACUUGUUGACCUGGAUGACAGAAGACCAUAUACACGAGGUUGAUGGUCACCUGGUCACUAUACCUUCCCCUCACUGAAGUCACCCCAGUCUCUGACAUGGCCCACCCAGUUGGCAUUCUGCAGGCCUUCUUAGUCAACAAUGGCUGCCAUUGCCUAGCUGAAGCAUCUACUCUAAUCCUGUGGAUGGGCUUGUGACCUAAGACUGCCCUCAUGACCCCCAUCACCAGGACCAGCAAGGAGCCCCUACCCGGGAUUUUGCAGUGGCAAUUUCAGCUUUCAGGAUCUCAGGGUCAUACUUGGAGCUGGAUGACGAACCAGAGACCACUGCAAUGAGACAGAAAAUAAAAACAAACUGUAGAAGAAACACAGUUUGGCUAAAUUGUUUUUUUGGGCCAUCUAGAUAAACCCAGAAAGGAAUGACUAAUUGUGAACAACGUAAGUAUUCCACAAAAGGGGAUCUGUUCAAUAAAUAUGACAA